rnacentral:rRNA from 1 species
GACGAACCGUGCGAACGUUAUUCGGAAUCACUGGGCUUAAAGCGCGUGUAGGCGGAUGGGUACGUCGGUCGCUGAAAUCCCCCGGCUCAACCGGGGAACGGGCGCCGAAACGACCCGUCUGGAGGGACGUAGGGGGACCUGGAACUUCCGGUGGAGCGGUGAAAUGCGUUGAGAUCGGAAGGAACGCCCGUGGCGAAAGCGAGGUCCUGGACGUCUACUGACGCUGAGACGCGAAAGCUAGGGUAGCGAACGGGAUUAGAUACCCCGGUAGUCCUAGCCGUAAACGAUGGGCACUGGGUAGGGGGCUCGCCGAUGGGCUCUCUGCCGAAGCGAAAGCGUGAAGUGCCCCGCCUGGGGAGUAUGGUCGCAAGGCUGAA